GUUCCUUCCACAAUUAGCUCAUGAAUUUCCUGUUUCAUGAAUAAUUAACAUUAUCCAAUAACCAAUAACUUUGGCCUUAUCAGUUUGACCUUUUAGCACAUACCUCUGUUCAAUGCAAUAGGGGACAAAAAUAGCAGGAGUUAACUAAGAAGUCUCUGUGUGAUUUUCAGCUUUAGGCCAUGGAGAAUCUCUGCUACUACCUCGUCACCAUCUUAUUGUGUUCUUUACCUUUACUUCUCAUCUCCAAAAGCUUGCUAUUUAACCAUGUCAAGAACAAGAAGUUACCACCAAGUCCACUUGCUUUGCCAAUAAUUGGCCAUCUUUACCUUAUCAAGAACUCACUCUACGAAGACUUGACUUCAUUAUCAUCAAGAUAUGGUCCAAUUUUCUUUCUCCAAUUCGGCCGCCGUUCCUUUGUUGUUGUGUCAUCUCCAUCCACCAUUGAAGAGUGCUUCACCAGGAAUGAUAUCAUACUUGCAAACCGUCCUCGUGGCAUGGCAGGGGACAGGUUUUCCUAUAACUAUACAGUCGUUGGGAUAGCCCCAUAUGGCCACUUGUGGAGGGUUCUUCGUCGCCUCUUGGUCGUUGAAUCUUUCUCUUUCAACAGCCUCCAGAGGACUUCAUUUAUCAGGGAAGAAGAAAUUAAGAUGAUUCUCAGGUCAAUUUACAGAGUUUCAAAGAAUGGAAGCCUAAUAAGAGUUGAUUUGAACUAUUGGAUUUCAGUUUUUACACUCAAUGUUAUCAUGAGGAUGCUUGUUGGACGAUGCUCCAUCAGAGAGGAGGAUGCUGGAGAGGAGUUGGGGAUGCAAAUAAUUAAAGAAUUCAGGGAAAUGUUUGCUUCAGGCAUUGCGCAGAAUUUGUGUGACUUCUUUCCUAUAUUAAGAUGGAUUGGCUACAAGGGACUGGAAAAAAAAAUGAUCUCUUUGCACAAGAAGAGAGAUAAACUCUUUCAGGGUUUCAUAGACGAAUUUCAAUCUUCAGAUACUCUGCUGGACAAGGAGAAGAAGGCAUUGAUUGCAAAUCUGCUUGCUUCUAAGGAAAAAGAAUCAGAUUUUCUAUCAGAUGACAUCAUAAAGGGUAUUGCGUUGAUAAUGCUUACAGCAGGAAGAGAAACGUCCACACUGACCACUGAAUGGGCUAUGUUGCUUUUACUGAAUCACCCGAAGGCACUACAGAAACUAAGGACUGAGAUUGACAACAGCGUAGGACAUGGAAGGCUGGUGGAUGAAUCUGAUAUUCCAAAGCUUCCCUAUCUUCGUUGUGUUGUCAAUGAGACAUUGAGACUGUACCCCGCGGCACCACUUCUGAUACCUCAUCAUGCAUCUGAAGACUGCCGAGUCGGGGGGUAUGAUAUUCCAAAAGGUACAAUUGUUUUAGCUAAUGCCUGGGCCGUACAUAGGGAUCCAAAACUCUGGGAGCAGCCCGAGAAAUUCAUGCCAGAAAGAUUCGAAGCGAAGGGAUUAAUGGAUAACGAAGAGUUCAAUUCCAAGUUUUUACCAUUUGGGAUAGGGAGGAGAGCUUGUCCCGGAGCCAAUCUAGGCAUUCGGAAUGUCUCAUUGGCAGUGGGUACAUUCAUCCAGUGUUUUGAUUGGGAUAAAGUUGAAGAGGAUGGUGAAUUGGACGUUAACUUUAGCAACAGAAUCAGUCUGAAGAAGGCUAACCAUUUGGAGGCCCUAUGCGCUCCACGCCAGGAAUCAAUCCAACUUCUCUCUCAACUUUGAAAGCCAACUAGAAGCAGUGAAUUGUGGUAGCAGAAGCUAUCAUGUCGUUAUCAUGAAGUGGCAGUGUUUGUUUCUGGGGGAAUGCAAGUAUCUUAGUGACAAAAUCCAACGUUGGUGGAAGGUCAUACUAAUUCUGUGGCAGGCGGGAAGAUAUCUAUGGAAUCUCCUCUUUUGCCAUCUAUACAUAUCAGGCUACUGUUGCUGUCGCUUUGGCCAUUGAUUUGAUUACUGCCUAUGUCAGAUCGAUAAGAGUGAAAGUGUGAAACUUACAUAGCUACAUCACUUGCCUUUGCUUCUCCAGCAUGGCUUUGGAUUCAGAGGUCCUCUACUGGACAUUAAUCUUGAUUACUAUUUCCAAUAAUGUCGAUUGAUAUGUUCUCGGCAAAGUUGCCCGCGGACAUUUGUCAAUAUGUGCCAAUAAUGAGGUGGCUUGGUCUUGGGAAAACGUAUAGGAAGAUGUUGAAGAAUUACCAGGGGAAGUUUGAUGAUUUCAUGCACGAUCUGAGUGAGGAAAGUUGAAGAACUGAAGUGGUUCAGCCUCAUCACCUGAUCAGAGCAAGACCAUAAUCCAAUCAUUAUUGUCUUUGCAAGAAUCUGACCCUGAGUUCUACACCCUGGAUAUUGUCAAAGGAAUCGUACUGGUAAGACUUCUAGUAUCUAUCUGCUUCACAAGCGAAACAAGAAGAUCAUCGCUGUAACUAUUGGAACGUUCCUUAAUUUUUUCAAGUUAGAUGAUGCCAACAACCACAUCUAUUCUCUUGUUUUCUUUCAAUUGUUUGGAUAAAUCUUUUAUCUCCUAA